AUCUGAUCCUACUAGACAGGUAGCUGGACUUUGUGAUCAGAAUUGCAAGCUUCACUCAGAACAGAUAUUGCCAGAGCUGUGUCACCUGGAGCUUAUUAAAAAGGAAGAGUCUGAGGCCCCGCCCAGAACUUCUGAAUCAGAAUCUUUUCAUUAGCAAGAUCCACAGGUGAUUCUUACGCACAUUGAAGUGUGAGAGACUGUUCCUGUGGGUAAAGGGCAUGAGCUUUCGGGUCAGACUCACCGGAUGAAAAUUGCAGUUCCUCUACUGAUUUGCUAUAUGUCCUUGGGUCUGUUACUCAACUUCACUAUCAGGGGCUUAUUUGUAAAUUGGGUUUAACUGUCUCGCUGGCUUGUUAGUAUUAAAGGAGGUAACAUGGAGAAAGAGCUUAGAAACAUAGUAAAGUACUUAAACAUCAGUAGCUAUUAGUGAUUUGAUAAAUAAUAUCCUAGUAUAAUUUAGUAGAAUAUGAAAAGAGAGUGUAGGAUAUCAUCAGGACUGACCCAGCCAUGAACUGUGAACUGGUGACUGAGAAAAACAUGGUCUCCUGAGUGCACAAGGCAGGAGUCAACCUUUCAUGCAAGAUGCUGUCAGAGGGGGCUAAAAGGCCAGAGAGCGGAGGCUUCACUAGGCUCCCCCAACAGUUUGUCUAACUGUGGCUGUCCUGACUACUCAUCAUUUGGGUGUGUGGCAGAAGUCAGCCUGGCAGAAUUCAACCUUGCCCUCAUUGUACCAAACACCACCUAGCAGGCAGAUGGUGGGGGCUGGGGGGAGAUCUGUUGCCUUCACUUCCCAUGGCUCCGGAGAAGAUUCUAAUAGUUGUGAUAGACAGUUGACCUGAGUCUGUCUGAGCAAGGCUGAGUGGUGGGCACCUCUGCGCUUCUGCCUGGCUUAUGCAUGCAGCAUUAGCCUGACAGGGACUCCAGGAAAUACAGCAUCGCUGCUCCCUUGAGGGCCAGCCUCUUGGGGGAUGCCAGGAAGUGCAAAAACUCACGCGUGUAUAGCACAAGAAUGCUCUAUCACUUGCGAUACUGGGGCUACGAUGACUGCAAAGAUGAGUCAGACACAGAAAUGGCUUCUUCCAAAAGUUUUCAAAUUGAGUAGACAACGGUAAUGUGAAUUCCACAAAGAGAUUCAAGAAGACAGAGAAAGAGUCUCCAGUUUGAGGAUUGGAAAAGCUGGGGCAUUUAAUACAGGCCUUAGACAAGUACUGACUUGUGGGCUGCUCUAGAGGCAGCUCUGGGGGAAAGAAAACAUGUCAAAUUUGUGUCGUGUUCCUUCCUCUGGCCCCAGAACCCUGGCUAAUUCUGCAGUAGGUGCUGAGUUCUAGUAGAUUCCUAAUUUGGGAGUGCUUUGCCCCACCCCAGCUGAGAGCUGCUUCUGAUGGAAACAGGUUAUACACAGAGGGUUGGGGACGUAAGAAAGGCUGCAAACCAUCGCAUGUCACCUUGAGCAUAAUACAGAGGGCAGAGAACUCUCGGAUGUUAACUUCUAAGAAAAAAAAAUCCUUCUUAAAUUUAGUGACUAUUCACCUCAGGUACCAGCAGAUGGAUGGAUACAAAAGGUGAUUUUACUUGUUGUUAUAUGGUUUAAAAAAUAUUCUUAAACACUUUUUAAACUGUACAAUGUCAUUAAUUAUCUGCUGUGGUUUCUAUACUAUCCUGCCAUGUCAAAGUGUAUUUGGACACCAAUAAGCUUGGAUAAAAAUACAUCGGUGGAAAAUUGGCUCAAAAUAGGUUAGUAACCCUAAUAAGCAGUUUAUGUAGUCUGGGUGAGGUACCCACUAGGUAAUAAGUCUAUUUUUCUGGAUGUGGAAAAAGUGAGUACCUAAGGCAUAGUCAUUCCAAGGUUUGUUGGUCAGUGAAAAAGUUCCAUUCCAAAACCUCAGGAAAUGGAGAGGAUGAGGAGCAAAGGUGGAAGAAACAAAAACGUAUCAAAAAAAAAAAUGAAAAAACAAACAAACAAACAAAAAACCUGUAAGUGAAUGUAACAAUCUGAAGUCAAAGAGGCAGUUUCAAGCAGUAAUGAAGCUUCAGUUUGUAGGAUUGCUUCAAUGCAAUCGCUUCAUCAGAUACCAAAAUAUUUAAGUAUAAGAUUUGAAGAGGAGAUAAGUCUUUAUUACAUCAAUGAACUUGGUGACAACAUCACCAUUAUAGUGCCAAAAACAGGCAGAGGUAAUUUUUA
rnacentral:lncRNA from 10 species